rnacentral:rRNA from 1 species
GACGAACGCUGGCGGCGUGCUUAACACAUGCAAGUCGAACGGAAAGGCCCUGCUUUUGUGGGGUGCUCGAGUGGCGAACGGGUGAGUAACGCGUGAGUAACCUGCCCUUGACUUUGGGAUAACUUCAGGAAACUGGGGCUAAUACCGGAUAGGAGCUCCUGCUGCAUGGUGGGGGUUGGAAAGUUUCGGCGGUUGGGGAUGGACUCGCGGCUUAUCAGCUUGUUGGUGGGGUAGUGGCUUACCAAGGCUUUGACGGGUAGCCGGCCUGAGAGGGUGACCGGCCACAUUGGGACUGAGAUACGGCCCAGACUCCUACGGGAGGCAGCAGUGGGGAAUAUUGCACAAUGGGCGGAAGCCUGAUGCAGCAACGCCGCGUGCGGGAUGACGGCCUUCGGGUUGUAAACCGCUUUCGCCUGUGACGAAGCGUGAGUGACGGUAAUGGGUAAAGAAGCACCGGCUAACCACGUGCCAGCAGCCGCGGUGAUACGUAGGGUGCGAGCGUUGUCCGGAUUUAUUGGGCGUAAAGGGCUCGUAGGUGGUUGAUCGCGUCGGAAGUGUAAUCUUGGGGCUUAACCCUGAGCGUGCUUUCGAUACGGGUUGACUUGAGGAAGGUAGGGGAGAAUGGAAUUCCUGGUGGAGCGGUGGAAUGCGCAGAUAUCAGGAGGAACACCAGUGGCGAAGGCGGUUCUCUGGGCCUUUCCUGACGCUGAGGAGCGAAAGCGUGGGGAGCGAACAGGCUUAGAUACCCUGGUAGUCCACGCUGUAAACGGUGGGUACUAGGUGUGGGGUCCAUUCCACGGGUUCCGUGCCGUAGCUAACGCUUUAAGUACCCCGCCUGGGGAGUACGGCCGCAAGGCUAAAACUCAAAGGAAUUGACGGGGCCCCGCACAAGCGGCGGAGCAUGCGGAUUAAUUCGAUGCAACGCGUAGAACCUUACCUGGGUUUGACAUGGAUCGGGAGUGCUCAGAGAUGGGUGUGCCUCUUUUGGGGUCGGUUCACAGGUGGUGCAUGGCUGUCGUCAGCUCGUGUCGUGAGAUGUUGGGUUAAGUCCCGCAACGAGCGCAACCCUUGUUCACUGUUGCCAGCACGUUAUGGUGGGGACUCAGUGGAGACCGCCGGGGUCAACUCGGAGGAAGGUGGGGAUGACGUCAAGUCAUCAUGCCCCUUAUGUCCAGGGCUUCACGCAUGCUACAAUGGCUGGUACAGAGAGUGGCGAGCCUGUGAGGGUGAGCGAAUCUCGGAAAGUCGGUCUCAGUUCGGAUUGGGGUCUGCAACUCGACCUCAUGAAGUCGGAGUCGCUAGUAAUCGCAGAUCAGCAACGCUGCGGUGAAUACGUUCCCGGGGCU